ACUGGUUUCCCCAGAACACAGUUUGAAAAGCAUUGUCUUAGCCACUAUAGAUUUAAUGUUCAAAUUCUUGCUAAAGCAAAUGGAUAAACUGAUUUGGCUGUUGUACACCUGAUGUGCAAGGCAGCCUGUUUAUUUGUGAAGAAGCUUUCCUGCUACAGCAAGCUAUUCAUAAUAGGACCACUUGCCAAAUCAAAAUGUUUGCAUACACACCACCCUACCUCUUUGCAGCCACUGCAUGUGAGCACAGGCAACUUCCAAUUUACACGAGGGAGGGGGUUACGUUCCAAGACACCACACGUUUAAGUGAAAUCGCAUAUAUUUGAAACACCAUUGAAAAAACCUGCAAACACCCCAUUCCGAACCUGCCCUGCCCCCAUUCCGCCUCUUUUUGUGACUUUUUAGGUCACUUCCGGGUUCAGCACAAUGUGCACGUGUGCAAUCGCACACAUAUUGGACAUGCCUAAAACAGUUGCUGCCUGUAUUAUGAAGGGGAAAGCCUUGAUUUAUAAGUGUUUGUGUGUGUGCGCACCCUUCAUCCAUAACAGGCAUACCUGAGCAAAAGAUGUUCCAUGAGAAUCAUGGCCUUAUCAUUUAAAACCUAAAGAUAAAAAAGAAGGUUUUAAUGGUGAAAUUUCUGUAUAGAAGAGCAAUAACAGAGAAACGUUCCACUUCAAUGCAUGAUCACAUAGGCCUGAAUAAGAUGAUUUAUUUCAGCUAGCACCCAGCGUCAAAUUUCAUCUAUGCUUAGAAUAUUACUUAGAAAGUUGAGGUAAUUUGAAUCUCUUUUAGUAUUUUAACUUUUGUAUGUUUGAAGUAGGGUUGUGAAUUUUUCUUGUUCUUACUGUUUUAUCUUUUGUUAAAUGCUUUGAGGUUUUCUACAAUCAAGUGGAGUUCAUUUUUUAUGAGAUAAAGAACUAAAUAAAUAAAUACAUGUAAAUACAGGAGGCAAAUAAGCCUAAAUAAGGCUGCAAUGGUAUACACACAAACCUGGCUCGGAGUAUGACCCUUUGGACUCAAUGCGACUUACUUUGAGGAGCCAGCAUAGAAUUGCCCUGUUAAACAUUCUGAAGCAUGCUCCAUUGUGUUCAAUGGGACUUCCAACCAGGUGAGUAUAAGAUUUCCACAUUAGAAUUCAUUUAGAUUUAUGAAAUAAUUAAGCAUGCGUUAAAAAAAAUUCCCUCUAGAAUCAAAGCGACUUCUUCUGACUUGAGAUAUGUUCUUUAGUUACUAUAUAUACAGACACCCACCCACCCACCCACACCUGUUAGCAGAUAAGCUAUUCUGGUGUGUGGCGAUUGACCUUUUCAACUAUGCAGCCUUUCCUGAUUGGGUUUAGGUGCUUAGCAGCAUGAGGUAUUUAUAUGGUCCUCAUAUCUGAUGUAGCAAAGUACAGUCUCUAGAUAGUAAACCUUGAUAACAUCUCAGACUUUAGAUAAGUUCAAUAUUUUUCUUUCUGCAUCGAAGAUUUCCGGGUGCCUCUUAUGAAGUGCAUCUACGUCCUUGUGGAAUUGGAGAAGCUGAGUCUGUAACAUGUAUCUUUUUAUGUUGUCUGUUUUGCACCCAAAUUAGAUCAGAGUUAUUGUUAGAUUUAAGGGAAUCCUCAAAUAAGUUAAUUGGAAGAUGUCAUAUUGGGUUUGGUUUUGCUCUGUGCCUUCCUUGAGUGCUUCUGGAGGGAUGUAAGUUUGAAUUGUUCUAGUGUAUCUCAUUUGCCUGGGUGAGGAGGGGAUGGAGAUUUUUGCCUGGCUGGAAUGAAGCUUUUUGUACAAAGAUGCACAUCCAUUGAUGCACUAAGUUUUGCCAGUGGCUUUUCCCACUGCUGAUAUGUGGCCCCUGGAAGGGGAUAUGGUCCUCAUGCUAAAAAAAAAGUUCCCUGCCCCUGAUUUAAAUUAUGGUAAUUAUUUCUACAUAUCUAUAGUAAUCAUUUUAAAAUUUGUCCUCCUUUGUCCUCUUUCUUGACCACCCUAAAGACAAAUCAGCUAAGAGUGAGAGUGGGGAACAGACAUGGAAUGCAGAAGGAGAGAGACUUGAAGGUUAGUAUUAUUAUCAUCCUCCUCCUCCUCAUUAUUAUUAAAUUUGUAUACCACCCUCUAUCUGCAGGUGUCAGGGCGGUUCAAAACAUAAAAACACAAGAUAAUAACACAAAAUAUAUAAUAAAAAUAAAAACAAGAAAAACCCAGUAAUCUCCCCCCUCCCCAACACACUGCCUGGCUCCUAAAGGUAUAUAAGGCGCCAGCCAAACCUCCCUGGGCAGAGCAUUCCACAAAUGAGAAGCUACUGCAGAGAAGGCCCAUUCUUGUGUUGCCACCCUCCAGACCUCUUGUGGAAGAGGCACGCAAAGAAGGACCUCAGAAGAUGAUCUCCAGUAGGUUAAUAUAGAGAAAGGAAGUUCUUGAGGUAGACCCGUAUGGAAAUGGCCGCUUGACGUUUGCAGGCAGAGAAAUUGUGGGUCCCAUUUCACCCUGAUUCUUCAGGGGGAAGAAGAAAUUCUCCAAUAGUUCCUCAGGGGUGGCAUUCACCAUUAGCAGUGACAAUAGCACAGUUUCUUUUGCUCUUCCUAAGAUUUUAUUUUGUUAUUGUUCUUUCAAUGCUGCCACAAGUGGUAGUAGCAGCUCUAUUGGCAGCCUGGCCACCAUUUUGUAUUCCCCACAAUGCCAUGGGCCUAGCAUUAUUCUGGGGCAUUGUGGAGGAGAAAAUGCCAGUCAGAAUAUUGGUGCCCUUCUUGGGGCUGGGAGAAGUAAGAAAAAGUAAAUAUCCAAAAUGCUCUUUAGGGAAUGACUUGUGACAAAUUUUGGGUCAGCUCUAAUCAGAGCAGAGACAGCCUUGGAGAAGGCACACACUCCAGGCUGGGAAAUAUAUGCCAUGGAGAGAAUAUUUUGGCUGCUUAAAGGGCCUUUGAAGAGGCGAAUCAGAGUUCCAUCACUCCAAGAAGUAGUGAUGGAUAAUUAUGGUGGCAUUAUCAGGUAGGCAACUGCAGGACUGAAUUUUCCAAAUGCUUUUAUUCAAACUGAAUUAGUCAAAAUGAGGGAAGUAUUGUUUACACAGUAGCAAAGAGACUGAUUCCUCAGCUGAUUGGAACUCUGUUUUGACAUUAUUUGGAUGGUAGUCAACCAAGUAUUACUCACAGCAGACUUAGUGAAAUUUAUGGGCCGACUUAGUCAUGUUCAUUAUUUCAGUGGGUUUAUUCUGAGUAAAACUUUGGUGAAUACCACCCUUUGGUUCCUAAUUUUUACCUAUUGGAUAAUGUAUUUUCCCCUUCUAUCUGGAAAUUGCCACAAAUGCCUAUCUGAUAUUCAGUCCCUUAACUCAUUUUAAAGGGUAUGCAUUAAUGUCAAAUGGAAUGUUUUUAAUCAACAUAUCAAACCCUAGGAAUCUGGAUUCCACAGGAGACGUCUGUAUUUUAGCAUGAAAUAAUGAGAAUUAAUAUAGGAGUUCCAGGACCAAGAAAUAAAAAAAUUAUUACCCGAUAAGCAACUUCACAUGUAUAUUUUUUUACUGCACAAAAUACAACAUCUGUAGUUGUGCAUUUCUUAUGUGUCUGGUUAUGCACACAACCCUGUAAUAGGACUCUUAAUAGCAGUGGUUUCAAAUGCAUAAGUUCUACCUUAUCCUAAUGUAAAUCUUAGAACACUGCCAUUAUGCUGCCAGCAGCGUUAAUGUACAAGGUCCCUCCAAAGUGAUGCAUUAAGUAAACUGGGUGGAAAUCCACAAAGUAAGUAAUGGAAAAUCAUUUGAAUUGGAAAAAGCAUUGACCUUCAUAUCAGCCUUUGCGAUUCCAUUGUAUCUCAAAGCAGCUGUUUUCUUCUACAUGCAGCUAUUCUGUUUGUUGCCAUUCAAAAUAUUUCAUCUUCUUGAAAUGCUCAUUGUCAAAAAUAUUGUGUAGAAAUGCAUUAAGCAUGGAACUUGGCUCCUCAAACUGGAGGCAAAACAGACUUUUAGCAUGAGGCCAGUGCCUGCUGCAAGAUACACAAAGGCAUGUGAGCACAUGCAUAGCAUUUCUAUACAUGUGAAGGGAAUUUUCAAAUUUUAUUAUCUGCUGGAAAUUGUCAUGUGCUGUUUUGGAAGAUCACACCAUGCAAUUGGAAUGGGAAGACUGAAAAACCGUCAUGCACAGAGUUGCAAGCAAUUGUUCUUCAGCAAUAAUGGAAGGGAAAGAAGUAUGAAACCAAUGGGUUAGGUGUGCAGAGCCUUUGGACUUCCAGAUGUUGAACUACAGCUCCCAUCAUCCCUGGACAUUGGCCAGGCUCGCCAGGGCUCAUGGGAGAUGCAGUUCAGCAGCACCCACAGGUUCCCUACAUCUGCAGUUGGUAAUCAAAGGUCCCCAAAACUUUUCAAACAAGACAUUGUCGCAUGGGAAUGAUUUUAAAAGCUAUCAAUUUAGGACAUCUUAUAAAAUGUUUAUAGCCAUCUUCUGAACUGAUAAGCAUUCCAAACAACUCAUAAAGAAACAGAUAUAUUUCAUCAAUAGGAGAAUAAACAAAGAAGGCAAAUGCAGAAUAUUAGAAUCACAAUUCUUCGUAUAACAAAUAGUAUAUUUUAGGAAGUGCCCAACUGGACCAUAUGUCAACAAAAAUGAACAUACCGGUAAGAAGAGCCUGCUGGAUCAGGCCAAUGACCCAUCUAGUCUAGCAUGCUGUUCUCAUAAUAGCCAACCAGAUGCCUGUAAGAAACCUGCAAACAGAACUUGAACACAAGAGCAUUCUACCCUGCCCUGUGGUUUCCAGCAACUGGUAUUCAUAAGCAUUUACUGGCUCCAAUCGUGGGGGCAAAACAUAGCCAUAAUGGCUAGUAGCUGUUGAUAGUUUAUCCUCCCUGGGUGAGCCAUCCAGGUUAGUGGUCAUCACUGCUGGUGUGGGAACAAGUUCCAUAGUUUAACUAUGGGCUGCAUGAAGUAGGUGGCGCUGUGGUCUAAACCACCAAUCCUCUUGGGCUUUCUGAUCAUAAAGUUGGCAGUGAGCCCUCAUUGCUUUGUCCCAGCUCCUGCCAACCUAGCUGUCUGAAAGCAUGCCAGCAUGAGUAUAUAAAUAGCUACUGCUGCAGCGGGAAGGUAAAUGACGUUUCUGUGCUCUCUGGCACUUGUCACGGUGUCCUGUUGCACCAGAAGCGGUUUAGCCAUGCUGGUCACAUGACCCAGAAAAGCUGUCUGCGGACAAAUGCCGGCUCCCUUGUCCUGAAAAUGGAGAUGAAAUCUGCACCCCAUAGUCAAAUUCAACUGGACUUAAACAUCCAGGGGUCCUUUACCUUUACGUUUUGCAUGAAGAAGUAGUUCCUUUUGUCUCUCCUGAAUCUUCCAACUUUAUUCUUCUGGACAGAUUCUAGAGACAUUUCGCUGCAAAUCACAAAAAUCAAAGCCUACCCCCCACCUUUGGUACUGUGUGAUUGCCUUGGACCAUCUAGUUGGCUUCAUUUAGACUUCUGGCCAUGCAAAAAGGAGGCCGCUUGCCAUUGCCAUUCUGUCUUGGCCUUACUUCUGGAGUGGCUUGCUACAGUGGACUCCUCAGGCAAGCCAGAAAACAACAGAGAUGCCAGUGGAGGUUGACUCUGUGGCAGAAAUGAGUGCCUUUUACUCUGCCAGAGUGCCAGAACAUUUGAAAUCCCAAAAAUGUCAACGGGAUCUCUAUGCUAAAGGGCAGUUUAGCAACUGAACGAGCAGAUAAAUAAAUGGCUUUGUUGCCUGAUCAUUUUGCCCCUUAGGGUGACUUGCUCCAUGCUGUUAUCAUGGUCAUAAAACAGUGUUGUGAAUGCAAAUAUCCCAUUGAUUUAAACACCUUGCAGAUUCCCAAUGACCCUUGGUUUCUGCUUGUGUAUAUGUGCCUUGUUCCCUCUCCCAGAAUGUGUCUGGGAUGAAAGCCCUGUUCUGUCUGUCUUCCAUUGCCUUUUCUUUCCAGUGGCACCUAUAAUAACCUCUUUGCUUUAUCUGUACCCUCUCAGUCAUAAUGUUGUCCUUCUCCUGCUUACUUGUUCCCCGAUUACCACUGAAUUCACAUGCUAUCUGAUAAGUGCAGGUAUCUUCUUUUCUCCCUUGUAAAAAAAAUUGGAAGCAGAAAGUGUUCCUAAUUCUGUCAAGAAAAUGACUUUCGAUCCCCCUCCCUUGCAUAUUAUUCUCGUGAGGGUCAGAUGUGAAUCGAUUUCUGACGUGGGUUUUUUUCAUGGCUGUAAAGUGGUAAAAUGUGGAGUGCUUUGAAGUUAGAAAUGUAAUUGUGGAGACAUAAAAAUUGUAUCUAUAGCCAUCACAGAGAUAUUUAUCUCAAGAUGACUGUCUCAGUGUCCUUCAGAGCAAUAACUGCAACAGCCGAGAACAUAACAGAGGGAGCUGAAAUGUUAUGACUCAUUUACUUCUAACAAGUCUAAUACACUUCAGUGAAAACGUAUUGCACAUGACAUAAGGGACUCUCUGAUAUACUGGAACAAGCUUCAAAGGCCAUUGAAAUAAAAUACCAGCCAUUACUACUGCUCAAAUAUUCUUCAGUGUCUAAAUUAGGCCACCAAUACCAAAGAUCGUAAUUGCGUUAUUCUCUCUGAUUCCUUGUCGCUCAGAGAAAUGUCUAUGUUUUGCACACUCUUUUGUCCAGGAGGAGUGAGGUAGAUAAACCAGGCUCAUAAAACAUGUUAUUUUUUAUUGUCAUGUGCAACAUUACUAUUGCAAUGUCAUUUAAGAUGUUAAAAUGUUCACACUUUAAAUGCAUAAAAAUAUCUGUAAUGGCUUCCUCUGACUAUGACAGAGGGAAUUCAGAGGAAGGUCUUCAGGACGCAAUGCAGAAUGUCUUUGUGAAUGGGGAAGCGGCGGACAAUUAAUGCUGUGUAAACAUUGCCGGCAUAGCUUGUCUUUUUCUCAAUUUGGAUCAAAGCUGGUUUUGGGGGGAAACACAUCAAAAAUGCAGCAUCAAUAGAUAUGGAUUGGGAAUAAUGUCAUAUGUACUCCGCUUCCCAAACCAGUUGUGGGAGUGCACUGGAUGAAGAGUAAACAGAAGAGGGUACACAGCUUAAUUAACCUAAAAUGGGGGGGGGGUCUCUCUCUUUCUCACUGCAGUAUGUACUUGGAAAUAAGUGCAAUACUCCCAGGUGUGCCAUCCACUGGCCAUCACCCUGGACAUGACCAAACAGCAGCAAUGGACACAGGAAGCAGCCUUAAUCGAGAUGAAGUGAUUUGCCCUUGUACUCCACUAUUGUUUGGCUACCCGCAGUGGCUCUCCCCAGAGUCUUAGGCAAAAAGCCUUCCCAUCACUACCUGGAGAUGUCAUGGAUCGAACCUGGGGGCUUCUGCAUGCAAAAUGUAGGUGCUCUACCACUGAGCUAUGGUGCCUUCUCUGGCAACGUAAGCUGACUCCGCUUGCAAAGGUAAGCCACCUUCAUAUCGAAGCCAUUAAUUAAGCUCUCAGUCAUCUUAUCGUGCUUGCAUCAUGAACCUCCAGCUCAGGUUAAUGGUUUUAAAUUCACAGGAUCCCAAGGAUGCUCAGCUGGUGAGCCGUUCACCACCUUCACAGGACUGAUUCUCCCUGGUCCCUGUGGAAAAUGUUAGGAUAUUUCCGUUCCACCUUAAAGGGGAGCAGGCUUUGUGAGUCACACAGCCUGCGUAUUUCCUGUUUCACAGGAUGUUUCUGUUGUGUCUCUCUCUCUGUGUCAGAGACACUGAAGGAGGCAGUCAUGUUUUUCUUUGUUCUGAUCAACGCUGAAUAAAACUUGUAAAUAAUGCUCUCCUGCGUGCAACUUUUGCUGUGCAUUAUCUGCUGAUAGAGCGUGCAUGAGCUCGAGAAUGAUGGCAGGCUAUUUCUGGAGCUCGUGUCGCUAAUUGCUGAUACUGUAUCUACGGGAGAUCGAUGGACGUCCGGAGGCGACUUGGGGGCCAUGAUGGACUUUGACUCCCUGGCAGUAUCCUAACAGAAAAGCCCCAAAAGUUGUCCUGCUUUUCAAUUUGUAGUGCAAACAAAGCCUUUGGUUUAGUCACCUGUUUCAGUUAGUCCUGCCACACCCAAACUCUCAGUGUCUCUCCCUUUUGUAGCUUU